rnacentral:rRNA from 1 species
UACGAAGGGGGCUAGCGUUGCUCGGAAUCACUGGGCGUAAAGGGCGCGUAGGCGGACUCUUAAGUCGGGGGUGAAAGCCCAGGGCUCAACCCUGGAAUUGCCUUCGAUACUGAGAGUCUCGAGACCGGAAGAGGUAAGUGGAACUGCGAGUGUAGAGGUGAAAUUCGUAGAUAUUCGCAAGAACACCAGUGGCGAAAGCGGCCUGCUGGUCCUACAUUGACGCUGAGGCGCGAAAGCAUGGGGAGCGAACGGG